rnacentral:rRNA from 1 species
UACGUAGGGUGCAAGCGUUGUCCGGAUUUAUUGGGCGUAAAGAGCUCGUAGGCGGUCUGUCGCGUCGGAUGUGAAAACCCAGGGCUCAACCCUGGGCGUGCAUUCGAUACGGGCAGACUAGAGUAUGGCAGGGGAGACUGGAAUUCCUGGUGUAGCGGUGAAAUGCGCAGAUAUCAGGAGGAACACCGGUGGCGAAGGCGGGUCUCUGGGCCAAAACUGACGCUGAGGAGCGAAAGCGUGGGGAGCGAACAGG